GGAGUGCAGUUAGCCAUACCUGUCCAGAAGGAAUACAAUACCACUGUCUUGCAAAGAUUUUUCUUUUAUACGAAAAAGAUAGCAAUGAGUGAUUGUGGGGGUGGGUGUGAUAGUAGUGGCGGGGGCUGUGAUAGCGGCUGGAGUUCCGGUGGCGGGGGCUGUGACAGCGGCUGGAGCUCCGGUGGCGGGAACGACUAUGGCGGGUGGAACACAAGUGGUGGACGUUAUGCUACUGGAGAAGCAGCGGGAAGAGAUGGAAGGAGAAGACAGAAGCAUAAACAGCCCUAUCAGAAGGGUGGUUCAACGCAUCCUCACAGCCAUAACAACAGUGACUGUUGUGUAGUGUUAUGAGCCAUUCCCACACCUUUGUGUUGUGGGAACCACAUACAGGAACAUAGACCGCUGGAUAGAUUUAGCAAUAUCCUCAAACUAGUUGAUUCAAGUGACUGUGAAUGAAAUGGUGACUGCAGGACACAGAACUGCGAGUACUGCAGACUCUACUCCAAGCUGGGAAUAAAUUAUCCCCUAGGGAUAGUAUAAAAAACUUUUUCGGGGUAACGGAGGGGUGACAAGAAAGGUGUGAAGAAUUCUAGAAAUUAAGAAAACAUUGCGGUACCUGGAAUUAAAGUUAAUGAUAACUUAGUCUUAGUAUAUGAAGUUGUAAGGUAAAUCUAUUAUAAUUAAGUAAUAAAGUUCAACCGAAUAACAAUAAACAUUAAAAACUACAAUACAGUAUUAGAAAAGAAGAAAUAUAUAUCUACGUGUGUGGCAAGACAAAAGUUUUUUUAUAUGAAUCAGCAACCCUGAUCACGACUUGUCCAGUGUCACUCAGUUCAUGACCUUGCUCCUACGUCACUGAUAGUUAACCUGGGUGCAUGGUGCACUCAAGGGUGCAUGAAUAUUUUCAAAGAGUACUCGAAAGUGAUGAGUACAUGGAAGGGGGGAGUACAUGAUAUGGACAGUGUGUAUAAGAGUGUAGAGAAGGAAAAAAAUGUUUUAGGAAGGAAAUUGUGUGUUUUGUACACGGCAUGGCCAGUGAAUAUACAUAAGGAUUAACAGUAGGAAAAAUGUUUUAGGGAGAAAAUUGUGUCAUGUAAGUAAUUAAUUUAAAGUGAGAUAAAAGUAUUUCAAAUUUGUGUAAUAUAUUAAUACAUUAUGCUCACACGCAACUCGCGCCUCACAAUUCUGAGAUAUGAAAUUUUGUUUUAUUAGACAUUUAGCACCUACGUAACAAUUAUUUAGGACCGAAUAUCAAUUGUCUAUGUUUAAAAUAGAGACCCGCAUUUUAAUUCAUAUAUUUUCAGUAUCAAAACUAGAGAAAAUUGUGAAAUACUGAUUUUUUUUUUUUUUAAUUAAUCAUCAUAAGUACGAGGGCACAUGAAUUUUUCAAAAGCUCCCAGAAGGGUGCAAUAACUUGGAAAAUGUUGGGGACCACUGCUCUAUUUCACAAUGUCUGUUUCUCUGUACGCUAUGCUAUAAAGAUAGUAUUUACUCAUUGUAACAUUUUAUAAAAAGGGUAAAACGCCAGAGUGACAUGUUAAAUUGGGUAACAAGCUGAAAAAGUUUGGAAACCUUUGUUCUAAUUGCUUUUCUAUUUGACUAAUAUGUUUACAGUUUUGCAUAAUUUCUUCAUUGCAGUAUCAAAGAAUAUUCCACAACCUUCCAGAUAACUAUCCCCUUUUCUUCAGUGACACUCAACUGUCCCCCCUCUUCUAAAAUUAACAUCCUCGGUCUGUUCUUUACUUAUAAACUAAACUGGGAACUUCACAUCUCAUCUCUUGCUAAAACAGCUUCUAUGAAGUUAGGCAUUUUGAGUCGUCUCCGCCAGUUUUCUUCCCCCUUUCCCCCCCCCAUCCCCCCACCCCGCUGCUAACUCUGUACAGGGGCCUUAUCCGUCCAUGUAUGGAGUAUGCUUCACAUGUAUGUUGGGGGAGGUGGUUCCAAAAGCUUUUCGUCUAAUCAGCUCCUCUCCUCUAACUGACUGUCUUCAGCCUCUUUCUCAUCGCCGCAGUGUUGUAUCUCUUGCUAUCUUCUACCGCUAUUUUCACGCUGAUCUGAUCUUGCUAACUGCAUGCUUUCCCUUUUUCCGCGGCCUCCCUACACAAGAUUUUCUUCUUUCUCUCACCCCUAUUCUGUCCACCUCUCUAAUGCAAGAGUUAACCAGUAUUCCCGAUCAUUCAUCCCUUUUCUCAGGUUAACUCUAGAACUCUCUGCCUGCCUCUGUAUUUCCUCCUUCCUAUGACUUGAACGCUUUCAAGAGGGAGGUUUCAAGACACUUACCAUCCAUUAUUUGAUUUUUCUAUCUGGAAUUAUCUAUGGGACCUGGCAUUAAGUGGGGCUUUUUUACACAUUUUUUUUGUUGCGUUUGUCCAGUGGCCUUCUUGCAUAAAAAAAAAAAAAAAAGUCCUUUACAAGGCUUUAUAUGUCUUAAUAUCUUUUUUUAAGUCGUUCUGUUUAAGGCAUGCAAGCCGAAGUAAGAACGCACAUUAGGACACAGGCGACACAACCAAAUUUGGGCGCAUCACAGAGAAGGGCAGAAAUAUGCAUCUCAGGUGCAGGUGUACACCUAUGUCCGCCUGCGUCACGCAGCCGUUGGGAGUGGCAAUUCUUUUGGCUCUCAGGAUAGUAAUCUUUUGUGACAGUUAAGACCACAGGAUGACAGACUGUUUUUCAAUGUGGACACCACAUCUAUGCUGCCCUGUGUUUAACCAGCUCUGCACUACAUUGCAUCUGAAUGUGGCCUAAGGCCGUUAACACAUUCACCUCUCCUCUUUGAGGAAGCCAGCUGUGGUACGCGGCUUGGUGUGGUAGCUGAUUAUCUCGUAGAGCUACUUGCAGUACAAAUCCUAAGGACAUGUGUAAGUGUGGCUACUCUUCAGGGACAUGAGAAAAUCAGGACCAUGAACAGGUACAGGCCAGAACACCUUCUAAGGACAUGUCCAAGUCAGACACGCUCCUGGGCACUUAGAGGCCAUUCAUCCCCCAAGGACACAUGUAGACUGCGACACUUUCCAGAAACACGUGCAGAUCAAGUCAGCCAGCCAGAACGCGUGCAGACCAGAACAUUUUUCAAGAACACACGCAAGCCAAGACACCUUCAGGGGACACGUGCAAGCCAGGUCACCAUUCGUGCACACGUACGUACGUACGUACGUACAUACAUACAUACAUACAUACAUACAUACAUACAUACAUACAUACAUACAUGACUUCGAAGACACUUGCAGACCACGACACCGUUCAGGGUCGCGUGUAGGCCAGGACACCAACCGAACACACAAGACAUCCUUCUAAGACACGUGCAGGGCAAGAAGUUUCAAGGAUGAAUACAGAUUAGGAAACUUUUGGCGUUCAAGUGUAGACCAGAACACUUUCCAGAGACACAUGCAAGCCAGGACAUUCCUGCAAGGACAUAUGCAGACCAGGACAUCUUUGGAAGACACACGCAUGCCAGAACACCCUGCAAGGAUACCAGCAGGGCAGACACCCUUCAGGUCUCCUUUAGAGCCACUCAUGGUGUUAAAAGGAAAAAUUAAUGUGUAUGUACACGUGUACUGCUUCACAGUCUCGUUCUGUGCUGUUAGUAAUUCAUGGAAGAUAUUUUUUUUCUUUUUACGAUCGAGGGCGUUACAGUGACUUGGUGCUCUCUCUCUCUCUCUCUCUCUCUCUCUCUCUCUCUCUCUCUCUCUCUCUCUCUCUCUCUCUCUCUGUACUCAUUUUCUUAUAUAAAUUAUACGCAUCAAUGCUCAGUUUCCUGCACACUCACCUGUCAUGUUACAAUGUUUCCAUGUUGUUUGCGACCACCACGUGUGUGCACAAUAUAUUACCUACAUUCCGGGACCAAAAACCUUCUUACCGUACUGUACGAUACGACUGUGUGAAAUAGUGUCAUGUUUAGUAGAUAUAGUAUAAUAUCUAGCUAUCUUGUCUCACUGUACAAUAAAAUAAACAAAAUGUAAUUCCCAUGUUUUCCCUUCAUUUGUCCAGAAAUCCAUUGACGAAACCAAACAUUAUUUCAGUGUACAAUGGGUUCAGUAACUUUGUGAAUGUAAGGACAAAACUAUUAAACAAAAUGUUCAAGGACUUAUUUUUUUUCUUUUCAAGUCAAGCUUAAAAACUUGUACAUCAUUUCUCUCUCGCUCCCCGUUUUCUUUUUCAUACUAGGGAUGGGAAACUGCAAAAAAUAUUCGAGCUACUAUUGUUGGUUUGUCGCUGUCACAUUUGUAAUGGAAAUAUCCUUAGUAUAGAUUUUUUAAUAAAAAAAUAAAUAAAUAAAUACGAGGAGUAAAAUCAAGGUCAAUAUCAUCAUCAGAUUUGUAAAUGCAUAAUUGUUACAGGAAAAAAUAUAUCUUUAUUUCCAGCAGUGAUGGAGUGCAUUAUUUUUCAUCUACAAUAGAAAUAAAGAUAAGGUUUUAGAUACGAUAAGUUACACAACAAUCCUGAAAUGCUAUCUUUUACCGCAAAGUGGAAAGCUGGGAAAGCAACAAAAAAUAGGGAAAUAUGAUCUAAAAAAAAAUCAGAAACCCUUUGGCAUCUUCCGUUUGACCUUGAGAUAGGUCGAGCCAUUCCCUGCAACGCAUCAUACUCAUUUGCAGCUCUGAGAAGUAAGGACUAAACGCUGAGUUAAGAAAAUCGAGGCAAUCCUUAUCGUGUACCGCCGCGUUCAGUGGAGGUACAAACCUGACGUACUGAUUCCCAGACCACAGAAGCAUACAGAACAACUCCGGCUACCCACCGUGGCUGGAUAGAAAUGAGCGAUGACUGUGGUGGCUGCGACUCUGGGGGAGGAGGAGGAGGAGACACCGGUGGAAGUUGCUAUUUCAGCGGAGACACCGGUGGAAGUUGUGAUUACGAUGGAUCUUGUGACGCUGGCGAGGCCGAGGAGGAAUACGUGGACUCCGCCGGUGUGGUGAGGUACAGAGCUCCGCGCAGGACUGGCAGAAGCAGUCGUAGCAGCAGCGGCACUGAUAAUGGAAGAUUAAUUAUUCUUGGCCUUUUUGUUCUUGCUAUCAUCAUAAUCGUUGUGUGGUCCUUAGUGAGCUAGUAAGGUCUUGCAAACUGGAAAAGAUUUUAACAAUAUUAAGGAAUAAGUUUGUUUUCUAACGAUGUGUGUGUGUGUGUGUGUGUGUGUGUGUGUGUGUAUGUGUGUGUGUGUGUGUGUGUGUGUGUGUGUGUGUGUGUUUACGUUUAAAUGUUUGUAUUUUUUGCAGGAAUGAACAUGUUCUUUUACACUAAAUUAUCAUGUUUCACAUCAUAUUUGUGUAUACUGUUUACGAGUAUGCAGACCAUUUCCUCUGGUUGUAUCGUGACAGCCUCGUGCGUAUUUCACCCGUACCCCUGACAACGUCUUAAAGGCACCGACAGAGUAGGCCCUGUCGAAGUUUUUUUUUUUUUUUUUUUUUUAUGUACACUGCCGAGAAGGAUUAAAUUGUCUCAAGCGUGGCCUUGGUGAAGCAGUUUUUUUUUUUUUUUUAUAAAAAAAAUUGUUUCAAAUACAUUUAUAAGUAUUCAUUGAGUAUUGUAAUUUCUCGUAACCAGCGUGUCACACUUUUCGUCGUAAGAUAGCAACGAUGAGUGGCCCGGCCAUUAUGCCAACUUUCUUCUGUGUCAUCUUCCGCCAGUGAGCGUUGUUCUCUCUCCUCUCUCUCCUCUUGGUUACUGUUGUGCUACAUUAACUGUUACUAAGCAGCUUGCUUCGUGUAACCAGAUAAUACAUAGUAAUAAAGCAUUACACUGA